AGAGUUUGAUCCUGGCUCAGAUUGAACGCUGGCGGCAGGCCUAACACAUGCAAGUCGAGCGGUAGAGAGGUGCUUGCACCUCUUGAGAGCGGCGGACGGGUGAGUAAUGCCUAGGAAUCUGCCUGGUAGUGGGGGAUAACGCUCGGAAACGGACGNUAAUACCGCAUACGUCCUACGGGAGAAAGCAGGGGACCUUCGGGCCUUGCGNUAUCAGAUGAGCCUAGGUCGGAUUAGCUAGUUGGUGGGGUAAUGGCUCACCAAGGCGACGAUCCGUAACUGGUCUGAGAGGAUGAUCAGUCACACUGGAACUGAGACACGGUCCAGACUCCUACGGGAGGCAGCAGUGGGGAAUAUUGGACAAUGGGCGAAAGCCUGAUCCAGCCAUNCCGCGUGUGUGAAGAAGGUCUUCGGAUUGUAAAGCACUUUAAGUUGGGAGGAAGGGCAUUAACCUAAUACGUUAGUGUU
rnacentral:rRNA from 1 species